GAACCCAUGAAAAGUAGUCACAUCCUCUAUAAAGACUCCCCUGGGAACAGUCUGGUUUUCAGGGUUACAUCCCACCCAAGAACACCCUGGGAAUUCAGGCUUGACUUCUCCCCAGGUGUGGGAAAGGCAAGCUAACUUGACCCUGUUCUUUUUUUCUCACUGAGGUCACUGUUCUUGGCACCCACUUCUUCCUCUAGUAGACACCAACAAGGUGCAGUCACUAUCUCAAUGGAGCUUCCUGACCUGCUGCUUGGCUCUGGGAGAAACUGGAUUUCUUUCCUUCCUUGCUCGUGGAGAUCACACCCAGAAGGUAAGGAGAUCCUAGCUUCUAGGGUAUCUUUUGAUUCUGGGAAAGGGAGGUUGACCCAUACCCCUGCUAUGUGGAAAGAUACUGUUCUCUUGGCCUAUCACCUUCAGGGAUGAUGCCUAUGCCUGAUGGGAAGCUCAGCUCCCACCCUCUGGAUGACGGUUCCCUUUGAGAUAACCACUCCUGUUGAAUCCUUGGAUAGAAUCCGUUCAAGAUGGAUGCCAGCUUCAUACAAGGGCACCAUCAGACUUGGCCCAAGGUACGUGGGAGUAGAGUGGGUCCAGGUAAACCCAGGCACUAGGGAUGUCUGUGGCCUAUAGCCCAUACACCCCGUCUUCAGAACACUUGUGAAUUCAGGUUGCUCCAGCCCUGCUCUCUCUCUUUGUCAGAGAAAAGUACCAUCAGCUACCAAAAGCACAUACUAGAUGGCCAGUCUGUGUAAGAAUCCUCAGAAUGGAAGCCCAAAGCCCAGGAAGAUCUGAUGGAUCAAAGGACACAGGAUGUGCCAGUGAAGGUCACAGUCUUCUUUGUACUGGACCCUCAGCACCCAAGCUGCACUAGUGAGGCAUGAGAUCCUUCUGCCACAUCUUGGCAGGUAUAAUCCCAGCUCCAUUGAGGGAACAUAAAUAUUUCCCCGGGUAUAGGGAAGGAGAGCCUAUUUCACAGCCUGGGCAUAACUGGGACUAAGCCCCAUGUCCUCCAGAGAUAUACCAUUAAGACUUGGGAAGCCAUUUCUAAUGGAGUGUCCAUUUGUCAAGACAAACUCCUUGAGUAGGCCAAAAGGAAGCUCCCUGGGGGCAGAGUGUUGUCCCUCAUAGGGGAAAGGAGUCUGAUCAAAGAACACACAUGUAAACUGAUGCCAGCAGACCCUUCCUACCAAGUGAUGUCUUGGGUGGCUCCCACAGGCCAUCCAGCUCUGAACAAGUACUGGGGUCCUUACAAGGUGAUUUCCUCGCAUAUGGAGACAGAUUUCCACUCCGUUUGCUUUCUUUAUUUUUCUCCCUUUCAUUGUUUGAGUUACGUUUUUAUAGACAGAAUCUCUCUGGCCUGGAAUUCACUAUAAAACCAAAGUCCCCAGAAUUGAAUGUAUGCCAAUCCUCCUGCCUCAGGCUCCCAAAUACUGUAACUUCAGAAAUGGGCUAUGGCAAGCUAAGAGUUUGCUUUCUUUCAUGUAUAUGUACAUAUAUUUUUUUAAUUUGUUUUUUUGUUUCUUUUCUUUUUUUUUUUUUUUUGUCUGUGUGUGUGUGUGUGUGUGUGUGUGUGUGUGUGUGUGUGUGUGUGUGCCGGAGUCUAUGCAUGUGUAACAAGUGCAUUCAAGAGUCUGCGGAGAUCAGAAGAGGCCAUUGGAUCCUCUUGAACUGGACUUACACAUGACUAUGAGUCAACCUUAUGGAUUCUGGGAACCGAACCCAGUUCUUCUGAAAGAGCAUUAACUCCUGAGCCAUCCCGCCAGCCCUCCAGGGAGACUUGCUGGAUGGUGGAUGUCUCUGAGAAGGCGGGGUCCACGGGCAGCCUCUUCGAUGUUUGCAGAGCAGUAAUCCCUUGUGCUGUUGGCUUCAUUUGUGGUGAUCAUACAAGGACAAACCCAGUGCUGCUGUGGAGGUUCCAGGUCAUGGAGAGCUGAUAAAAAUGUCACCAGGAUGAGAGGUCUUCCCGAUGUGGAGGUGUGGAGACUGCAGGGUGCCCUCAAGGUGGGGACUGGAUGAGCCAACAUCAGGAGCGAGCAGAGGACUGCUGACCUGCAGCAAGUGGCCUCCCCUUCUCCUCUUGAAAGCUUCUCAGUGCAGACUCUGGACCAAGGAAGUUUCAACUUCAGAGAAAGAGGACAAUGCCAGCAUCGUUGCGAGGAAGGUGAGUGGACACCCCGUCCCACUCCACUGUGUUCCAAGAACACUUAUCCCCCUCCUCACUAACACUCAGCAUCCAAUCUGCCUGCAGGUUGGUGGUUGGAAACCAUAACCCUUGGAGAAGUGGAAGGGGCCCUUUGUCUGUCUUGUCUCUGCUUUUCUGUGGUACUUGAAGAGAAGUUGUUCGUGGUGGAUUCGCUUUACUUGUGCCGAAUCAUUCACGGACAACACUUUUUUCAGUACCAAAUGCUACCUCUAAGGAUUUCCUGGACACGAUGGCAACUUGCAGAAAGAUGGCCUUUCAGUCAAGCUUGUAGAGAAGUCAAGUAUGGAUGGUUGGCCAUGGACAGUAUGCUUGAGCUAGCUGUGAGUCACCUGUUCUGGUUCCCUGAGCAUCUGACCCAUCUGUAGGCCUCUCAGUGAGCUGUGCCAACCUUGGGGAGGCAGCUCUGGUUUUACUACCGGCGUCAAUCACCUCACAAGACUUUGAAGAGAGGCCAUCUUCCAGAAGAGAUGUUGGUGCCAGCACCAUUCAGGGUGUGUGACUGGUUGACCAGAGGGGCGUGCACUCUGUUCACCCUGUGGGCCACCUAGUCACCAACCCUCAGCAUCAAUCUCACUCAAAGAAGACUCUCCAGAGAUCCUGUCAAGUUUGGGGAAGUGUCAAUGGACUUGAUGGCUGUGCCCGCUCAGUGGACCAGGAUGAACUGUGGUCUUGGGGGUGUAUGUUUACAUAAGAUGCCAUGAGGCAUCCAUGGUAGCUGCUGCAUCACUAUCACAGCCUACUUGAAGUGUUGACUUCAGAUGUGGACAUGAUGUUGACGUCCCAUGAGGGACCUGAAGUCCCUUCUUUCCUGGGUGUGUGACUGAAUUGUACUUCACUAAGCAUGUGCCUUACUUAGCUGAUGUAUCUAUCAUCUGGUCCUCUAACCUCAGUUUCUUGUCUCUCUGCAGGAGAGUCUGUGAGAUACCAUCAUGGUUGUCCUGCCAUCACCACACCACCACGGGAGCUUCGAGUAUGUGCUCCCUUUGUGGAAACUGUGGAAUGGCACCCCCUCCGGUCCAGGAGGACUAACCGGAUCUAAUGGCAUCACCAUCCCCUUCAGGUAAGUGUGCCUCGGGUGAGCAUGCACUCAAUGUAGGUGUAUGUCACUCGGCUCGGCCCACUACCCACUGCUGUCCCUCCCCUUCUUCCCAGGACAGAGGAUGUGAUCACCGCUUGGCAAGAGUCGACACGUUCUUCACUGGCGUUCAUGUCUGGUACUUGAAGAGAGGCUGGCUGUGAUGAAUUCGAUUCAUCUAAACGAGUCAUACACGGCUCUCCUCUCUUUUAGUGCCAAACUCUGCCUCAGAGGGCUUCUUGAACCAGUGCUGUUUCCAAGGGUCCUGUCCACUCUCAGAAGCUACUCCCAAGCUGCCCUGCCUUGAAGAAGAUGCAGGAAUGCUGUGAGAAGUACCACCUCCUGGUACUCAGAGGGAGGUUGUCCGUGGUAAGUUUACACGAUUUAAUGAUGCCCAAUGAACGGUUGACCUCCUUCCAGUAUCACACCUCAUCAGGUGUCUUCUUAGACCUGAUGCCAGUCUUGAGGAAGCCACGUUCAUGUUGUUUUAUACUAGUGUCCUUGAACAUGUGUUUGCCUCUGUAACUAACAGACAGGCCUGCCAGUGUUCCCUAACUCCAUCGAGGCCCUUCAUGGAGAGCGUUGCCAGCAUUGAGAAAGACACCUAUGUUAUAGACUUAAGGCAUGGAUGUAGUGGUGCCCAUGGUAUCUCUUGUUUCUUAUCUAUUUGUAAAGGAAAAUAACAGAUCUCAUCCCCCUUCUUCCACUGCUAGCAAAUCUUGUCUUACAGGGAGGACUUCUAGACAUGUUGGGAAAUUCAGGAAUGGGUUCCAGGGGUGAACAUUUUGGGGAGAGGGGAAGAUAAGUAAGUGGAUGAUUUUCCAUGCCUGUCACCCAGGAUAUCAGAAGAAUGGAGCAAAGUGGGAAGAAAUAUUUUCUAUUUCCUAAUUUUCUUUGUGAAAAGAGUAUUUAUUUACUCUACCUAUUCAUAUAUUUAUAAAAAAGAUGCAUGCUUGUGAUAAAAAUUCAAGCAAUAUGAAAAAAUUAAAUUAAAAAAAUUACAAAAGUUUCCACCCACACGUAAACAACUUUAAGAAUUUCAAACUUCCUCCUGAGACUAUACACACAAAUGCAAAGGGAGGCUGAGAGAAAACCGUUUCACAGGGAUGAAUCUACCCUGUGUCUAAUCAUUUUAUUUAAAAUAUUCAUUAUUUUAAAUAAUUUCACUUGUGCUUAACAUAAAGAAACAACUAAAGGAGGCUGGAAGAUUUAGUAAGCUUCCCCUUUUGCCUUACUGAAGCAAGAGUCCAACACCACUAAGAAAGGUGAUGUGGAAAGCAGUGAGUAGUAGAGAAUCAGUUCCCCUGCUGCUUCUGACAGCUGCAGACACGACCAUGCUCCCACACCGACCCACAUGCUUUCUUUACUAGGGUUAUGCAUUUUAAUUUUUCCACUGGGAAAAAUUAGAAAGUAAGUCUUAGAAGUGUUGAAGAUUGGUCCUCAGUAUGAAUAGCUUUGGCCACUUGUUUUGUUUAAACUCUGCCUUCUUUUUUUUUGGAGUCUUUAAUUCAUCUCUCAAUACAAUGAGGAUUUUUGUCAUUCCUUCAAGAAUGUCUCACAGGUACUACCCUUGAGUUCUUAAGACUGGUCUCUUGCUCUCAACCACAGGGGACAGAUUAGCUGGGUAUAGAAUUCUCGGCCUACUUUAGACGUUUCCUCUGAGAAUGUCCAUACUUCGCUAUCAUCUUCUGUAUUAUUUUACUACCCCUUUUGGUGUAGCUUUCAAAAAACUUCUCAUUUAUCUAGAUAUAUUGUCUAGUGGGUCCUCCUUUGUAGUUCUAGAAAGUGAACGCACAGCCUUCUGCAUACUAGACAAGCAUCCCCACCUAGCCACACCAAAGCCCAUUGUACUCUCAGUUCUGCAUAUACUUUGGGGAGAGACUUGGGAGUACUGCCUACUGUGAGGUCUCUUAUCUCCAGGAAUGUCCCUCUAACGCCUUUAUAACUCUCCUUUUCAUGACUUUGUUAACUUUUCACUGUCUGUCUAUAAUCAGCCCAGAAUUAAAAAGUUUGGGUUUGCUCCUUUCUUUCUGGGUGUAGGGGUCAAAAUGCAAAUGGCUCAGUCGACAAAGCUCUUGCCAUGCAAGCAUGAGGCUCUGGGUUUGACCCCAGUGCCCAUUAAAACCCUGUCUCGAAAAACCAAAAAAAAAAAAAAAAAAAAAAAAAAAAAAAAAAAAAAAAAAAAAGCUAGGUCAUGGCAAUGUGCACCUGUUAUCCCAGCACUGGGCCGGGGUGGGGGGCAGAGACCAAAGGAUGUGUCCUGGGGUGCUCACUGGACAGCCUGUGUAACCAACUCAGUGAGUGAACUCCAAGUCCAAUGAGAGACACUAUUCAAAGCAAUAAAGUAGGGAGCAAUUGAGGAAGUCACUGGACGUUGACGCCUGGAUUCUGUACACAUUUACGUGUCCCCUGUGCACUCAUUACCCUCCCCCACCUGCACACACAGUUAUAACAUGGUGGUUUGCAUGAGGUUCUGUCUGGUACUUCAAAGGUUUCAUCAAAUUUAUUGGUGAAUUCUCUGCUCCAUUUGUUGGCUUGGACCUCAUGACUAGUAUAAAUUCCCCCAUCUUUGUCCUGGAACCUUGACAUCUCACGGUUGUCACUGUUCCAUCUUUAUGGCAGUCCUCCCUGUUGUCAUUUGCAUCACAAAUUCGUUUCGUUAAAGGAAUCAGACCCCUUUCUCGGUGUCACCUUCUGUCUUGACAGGAUGCCUAAUUGCUGCGCCAGCCUCUGGGAUGGACAGGGACCCAGGACCCACCAUCCUUGGGCAGGUAUGUGAACUUGCUCUCAAUUAUUUGUUUUUCUCACAUGCAGUGGGCCAUUCAUUAACAGUUACAACCUGUCUUUAGGCAGACAUCUUGGAAGUUUGCUUGCCAUGAGAAGUGGGGCCAUGACCCUAAGGUCAGUGCCACACCAUGGUGUCACAUAGUUGGCACUCAGUGCUGACACUGUUUUGAUGACCAGUAUUGUAGAGCUAGCCUCUCUGUGAGCUCUGCAGGCAAUCCCUAGGCACAAGGCCUAUUUAAAAAAAAAAAAAAAGAGCAUCAUUGCUGUUUGCCUCAAUGCUGAUGUGAAGCUAGGGACCCUCCACUCUUACGAUACACAUGAUAAAAUCUAUGCACGUAGGGCCUCCUUUAUCAGACUCUGUAAGGCGCUCCUUAGACACUCCGUCCUCGGCAAUGGUGCCAAGGCUAGAUGACUACUUCAGCGGGGGAGGGAGGAUUGGAUGUGGGGUGUGUGAUACAGCCUCAAGCCCUCUUGCAGUCAACGCACUAGCCUGCUGUGUUCACUGUGCUCGGGGGACUUCCUGGAGGAAGCCAGCUUCAGAGAAGAGACACUGGCACUCACCCGCGGUGCUUGAAGAUAGGUUAUCCGUGUUGCCUUCGCUUUGCUCGUGACGAAUCAUACACGGUUGACCUAUUUUUCAGUACCAAAUCCCGCCUUGGAGGAAUUUCUGGGGUUGACCCUCACUUCAGGGUGGGACUUUGGUGUUAGCGCUUCUCCGGGGUAAGUGAAGAGAUCAUUCGCCACAGGCAGGUCCAGGAGCAUACAUGCUGUCCUCACCCAGUGCGUCCCUGGUUCUCUGCGGGACUCGUGGAGGUGGUACCUAUUUGGAAUGAGGGGAAAUGUCCUCAUUUUAUUCCCUCUACAGAUGACAGAUAGUUAAACUUCUCUGGUAUAAAAUGUGGCUCUCAAGUUCAAGUUCAGAGCUAGGAAUUGUGUACACACACACACACACACACACACACACACACACACACACACAUCUACAUGGGUGUUUCCAUCAGCCCUCUUGGCAUGCACUCAUCUCUGGGCUCACUGGAAGAUGUGGCAGUUCUGACCUUCUCACAGCUCUCUAGGACACACCCUGUGCUCCAUUGGGAAACCCUUCUAUGAUAGUGCAAUGGCUUCUGACAGUGGCCCUAACCACAGGCAGGGGACAAGAAAUGGCCCAAGCCACAGGGCACGUGUCCUUUGGCUAGAAUGUGUAGCUAUCUGCCCAACCCUCAGGGAUUCCCUCUUUAGGCCUGCUGCCUGGGACAUGCCAACACAAGCUCCCGAAAUCAAGUGUUUGAACAGAGGUUGUCCAUGGUGUGUUCAUUUUAUUUAUGAUGAGUAUUACAUGGCCAAUCUCCUUUCGGCACUAAAAUCUUCCUGGGAGAGCUUCUCCGGGGGAGUUCUGUCAGCAUCUGUGUGGGGUAAGGAAAUGGAGUAUCCCCUGCUUUUAAAAAAAAAAAAUGAGAUUUAGGUCAUCUGGUUGUCAAUGUAGGAUGUCCCAGAAAUGACACCAACUAUUUUGGGUGGUUCUGUGGUUUUCUGGCCAUUGUUAUAAAGAGCAAGCACAUUGGGUCAAAAACCAUAUUUAGAUGAGAAACUGUCUCAGAUGGAGACAUGCUAUAGGGAAGGAAGAAUCUGAGGCACCCCGGGGGUGGGGCUAGCUGGAUACAGGCCCCCAUUUGUUCAUUCUUCACUAUCAUCCUCAGUGUUCGAGUCCAGGGGUUGUCUCCAGGAAGUAGAACCAGCUACCAGACUGGAAUGUGGGAGGGCAUCUCAUGGUGACAUUUAGUAUUAGAAUGCUGAUGUCCUUCCUCUGACUCCAGUGUCCCUUGUGAAGGAGAGGACUCGGCAGCAUUCAUUACUACCUGGUGCUUGCUAAUGGUGUGACCUUGAGUGAGUCAGCCUGUCAUCUGUCUUGCCUCAAUUUGUCUGUAUGAGAGCGUUAAUGGCUGCUUAUAAGGUAUGUAUGUACACACGCUGAAUGUGUGCUCAGUAUUUUCGUGAUGCCUGGAUUUCCAGGGAAAGUUGGAAAACCAAUGGAUCUUGUAAUGAUGCUCGCUGCAUGAAUGUAGUUACCAUGUGGAUGUCCUUCCACCCUCUGGAGCACAGGUUCCUUGAAGUUGGAAGCCUCGUCUCUAGUACCCUGUAGGGGUACACAGUACGGAUGAUGUUGGAUGAGUGGCAGCUUGACAUGCUUUCUUUGUCGAACCCUCUUCGAGGCCUCUCAGAAGCUGGAGAGAAUGGAGGACGUCCCCAGAGCCUUGUACUUCCUGACAAUGCUGCUUUGUCUGUGGGGUCUUGCUGUCCUCUCAGGAUGCUGCCUUGGAGAGGGAGUCACCCCCUUUUAGGCCAGCCUUCAUUGGUGGGCCAGAUGGACCCUACCACACAGAGAAGUCAUGGUUCCUACUGUGUCAGACCCACCUCAGGACUUCUCUGGGAGACACAUUUUGGGAUUCAGAUUUGGUAUCCAUACAUUUCUGGGUGAGUGACCAGUUGCUGGCCAAAGCCUGGACCCACAAUGCAUUUAUAUAAGCCUCUUUCCACCUGUAGGCAGGAUAGAACUCUGCAAGGCAGUCCAUGAAAGGCUGUUUUGCAGUUGGACCUGGGGGCUCAUUGGAGGUAACACCAGCCUCACUAGAGGGUGGGAGUCAGGGAGCCAGAGCCGAGGGAGGCAGUGCAGCCUCUGGAAGAGGUGCCCUGCACUGCUCUCGGCCUGUGCUGACGUUUGAUUCUGGAGCAGAGGUUGCCCUUGGUGAAUUCGCUUUAUUGAUGUUGAAUCACACAAAGGCAACUUUUGUUUGAGUAUCAAAGCCUGCUUGGGGUGGCUUUGGGGAGGGUCUCUGUGUAUGCCACAUGCUGGAAUGGAUGAUGGAGAUAAGGUGUGAACAGCCAAGGGUGUGGCUCAGAGAACAUGGAUGGUGUAACCAGAUGCAGGAUUCCUGGAACCCAUGAAGAGAUGCCAGUGUCUGCUUGGCAGCUUUUCUCAACCCAAAUCCUCUUUGCCACACCAGCACUUAGGUCCCCUGGUUCCAAACACAUUGGCUACUCUAAUCUGAAGACACCUUGACCAAAUGAGCUCUCCCUUGACUGUGUCCAGGACAAUGGCAGCCUGCCUUCUCUGUCUUCCUCCUCUCUCCAGCUCACUAGGUCAGGAGCUCUUACAUUCCAUCCAUCGUCUCCCCCAACACCCACCCUACUCCCUGUGUGCUUCUCUUUCUCCCCUAUUUCUCACCAAACCUUGUUCUCCAUUUUUUGGAUGGGUUAGGAAAUGAGUAGAGGAGACCAGCAUUUCAUCCCGUUUACAUUAAAUAAUAGUGAUAAAAUAAUCACAAAAUAACACUACAAACUACCGGAACGGCUCGGAGGAAAAUGUGUUCAAUUGACUACAAAUUGGCAGAAGAAUCCAAUUUUCUUGACAACAUUUCAGCUACGACUUUUGACCUGGGGAAACAGUACUCUGUAGACAUGGCAGCCGCAAGAGGCGGCUUGCGAUAGUGGCGGCUGCUGUGAGCAGUAAUAUUUGUGGUAGAUGAACACACAUUGAGGAAUCAAAUCUUCGUUCAGAUUUUUAAAUGGGAAAGAAUUGAUCCUAAUGAAAAUGAUUUGAGGAAAUAACAAGGGAAAUAAAAGAAAUGAAAAUGGCUCAACAGCACAGUCAAGGAAGCUAAACAGGGAAUUGGAUUAAGUUUAAUGGAAUUUGCUCAAAAAAAAAAAAGCUUUUUUUUUUCUUUUUUUUUUUUAAUGAAAAUCAAUGCGGGUGCAGUUUUUGGCCAGGUGGGGAAAAUCUAUGUGCUUAGACUGAAGCCAGUGGGGCAUUAGGAAGACCUGGUCUCGUGCAGGUCCUUCGUGUGGCUAAACUUUAUUUUCUGUCCCAAACCUUUACAGAGCGCCUCCUAGACAGGUGUGGUGACUGCAGUAGUUCCAAGCUGGCAAGGGUCCUCUGGAGGAUGUGAAUGGGUGCCAAUGACAGAGCAUGUACCCGGUGGGCAAUCCUCUUCAGCUUCCUCUAGCCUCAAGAAACAUUCUGGAAGGAUCUUUACUUCGAUGGACCUCAGAGGCAACAGCAUUAUCUUGAAGCUGGUCAGUGGCUGGAGCCCUCUCCAUGACAGGUGCUUGGAGGAAGACAAGGUGCCUGGACAGUUCUAAACAUGCUUGCUGACUAGACCUUGUAUCUACCACUAGCCAUCGCCAUUGCCACUGUGUGGUUCUUAGGAACACUUCCAGGAGGUGACGCCAGCUCAGGAAAGAGCCUCUGAUCCACAGGUCAGUUUCCAGAACACCUAGAUGAAGCUGCCCGUGACGUCUUUUCCCCUUAUGAUAGACUGCUUGCGAGCGGCCUCUUUCUGCACUGCGGCAAGGCUAGACGCCUGUGAGAACUCUUGCCAAUGUCAGAGAAAGGAUUCUGCUGUCGGUCCCACUCCACGGUUUACAAAACGGGUGGUGCGCACAGAAUCCAGCCUCUGCUUGUGGCCCAUGUCAUCAGGUCCUGACCCUCACUGGCUAGCCUUCUCCCGUGACACGCUUGUCCGGGUUCUUCCGAUGAACCGUUCUACACUAUGUGAAGAGAGACUGUUUAGGGUCCGGUUGCAUUGUUCUUCCUCUCCUCCAUCCAUGUUUGUCUUUGACAUUUUAACUGCUUUGUUUAUGGGCUGAAUGGUCAAGCAGCUCUUGCUGUUACCUCUUAAACCGCCUGUGAGGGAUGACAGGGUGGGGGUGCCAGGUUGCGGGGUAUGCGGUGGUUGGGCCCAAAGAGGAGCAUCUCUAGAUGAUGGCAUCAAUGCCACUUUGCUCCUUCUGGAAGGCAUCCUCACUGAGAGGGUGGAGGGUGUGCAUGCAGGAUCUUAGGGCUCCCCUGUCUCCAGGGCUGGCAAGCGAGUGUUGAGAGUGAGCAGAGUUCUGUGUUCACUUCCUGCACUGUGCCCACUUCUCUUGCUCAGUGCCAUCCCCUGCCUACCUGGGUCUCCAGGUCAACCUCAGGGAAGGCUCUAGAUUCUAGAUAUUCAUUCUGGGGAGAUGAAAGGAUGGCAGAUGCGCCGGGGAGGUGAUGGGAUAAUUGCUCUCAGGUAGUGGAGGGUGGCUCCUUGCUGAAUUGGGGGUGGGGGUUCAAACUCUGAGGGACUCCAGGGAUGGGUCUUCUGGAAACACAGCCACCUUGAAGCAUCGGCCUUGGUCUGAGCAUCCGAGCCUCUCCAUGGUACUCGGAGAGAGGUUACCCGAGCAACUUUGCAUCUGGAGGACGAAUGUUGCUCGGUGAACCCCUUUUCGGUAUCAAAUCCCUCCAGGGAGGCCGAGUGGAGGCCCCGGCACCUCAGGGAAGAACGUGGAAUCGUCUCUGCUCUGGGGUAUGGGACGGAUGGUCGACCAGCUGGAAAGUAAUUGUUUCUAAUGUACUUCACCUGGUCCACUAGCCGUCGGUGCCCGCUGCAGCCUGCGUCUAGGAUGCCACUACCUCGGCUCAGCACCUCUGCUGGUACUUGAAGGGAGAUCGACCGUGUUAUAUUCGCUUGGCUGACUUCGAAUAAUACAUGGUUGAUCUUUUCUCAGUAUCAACGCUCAGCUUGGAGAAGCACUUGGAGUUGCAGCCCCCGUGGGGGUGGGAAACGGGAUGGUGCUUCUAGAUUGCUACCUCAGUGGGGACUGGGCUGGGUGGGACAGGCUGUGUGCUGUCUGUGUCCAACGCCUCUCACCAUUCAUCUCUACCUCACCCCCCCCCCUCCCCAGGACAGCUUCAGGAGGUGAUGCAAAUUCCAUGGAUGCAGCAGCCAGCACUGGGUACUUGAGGAGAGGUUGUCUGUGAUGAGUUCGCUUUAUUAAUGACGAAUAUAACACAGAUGGCCUGUUUUCAAUACCACCUGUCACUCCUGCCACUCAGCAGUACAUACCAGGUGCCACAGCACUGCUCGGUAGGUGAAUGCAUGGACUCUGUAUGACACUUGCCACCCUCUUCACCGAGCCUCAGCUUCACAUCCAUCCUGAGGAGCUUCCUGGGAUCACACCAACCUUGCAGGCUGGCCACAAAGCAUUGGCCUGGUGUGCGAUGGAUGACCAGAAUCUCUCCACUUGCCAUGCCUCUUGCUACAAGAGUGGGUGUCUGUCCCUAUCUAAGGCAUUCCACUGAGGGCUGCAUGCCCGCAUGCCCUGCACCUGGGGUGCCUCCCAGUACCAAAAGGAUGGCAUAACACUUGGGAAAGAACCAGGCCAGCCAGUUGUUCAUAUACCCCAUGAUGGGUUUCCAUUCCUCAUAAUGAUAUUAUACAUGGUCAUCUCUCUCUAGUAUUGGAUCUCACCUUUGUGAGCCUGGGUGUCAGGGGAGGGACAUGCAUUGCUGGCCCACUGGACACAGCUUGAUGGUCAGGCAUGUAUCUGACUCAUCCUGAUCCAGAGCAUCACAUCUCCCUCAGUGGGGGUUAGGAAGCCCAUCUGAGAGGAAGAAGCACCCUAUGUAGAGUCCAUGCUGCUUCGUAGUACCUGCAAUAGGUUGUCUCUGAGAUGCUUACUUUCUGGAUGCUGACAUGCUACCCUGGAACACUUCUGCUUUGAGAUGCUGAUGCCAGCAGCAGAAGCCUCUGUGUUGAUUGACACCAAUGUCUGUGUGUGAGCCUGUGGCCUGGCCUCUUACCUUCCCAGUUCUCCUCUGUUAGAAACAGCGUAGAAUGUUCCCUUGAGUGUAUGAGGCAGUGAUCCCCCAGCUGUGUCCCUACCUCAAGCAGACACGAGUCCCAGACAGGGUGUGGCCCGUACUUAACGUGUGCUUUCUCCAUCUUUGCACUCUGGCUUUGUCAGACUCCUGUGAGCUUGCCAUAGAGGCUUGACCUGAAGAUCAGAAAGCAGCUGAUCAUGCCCAGUAGGAGCCUUGGAGACACAGGCUAGAGACAUUUGGUAUUCAGUAAGGAUCUCCAGAGUGGCAAAGAGUUCUUUCUGAGUAGGCUUGCAUUGCCACUCCCCCCUACCAAUGCAACUAGCACCCUCACCUUGGCAGCUCUACCCUGUGGGCUUCUUCACCUCUUCUGGGCCUCCUUAUCACCAAAAUCCUCUGUGUCCACAGAGGACAGUGUCUCCCUCCCCUCUCCAUCAUCACUCCCCCACAGCCCCGCCCAAAGGGUACGUGGUCUCUCUUCAGUCUCUUCCUCUUGUUCAGGAAGACCUGCCCAUGCCCCUCCCUCUGGGAGCUGGUCCUGGCUGCCUUUUCACUACCUAGUCCAUCCCUCUUCCUCAGCCUUCGUGCUCGCACAUUCCUUUCACUGGAAUUCAGGAUUCCAAGGGGCAUGGAAUGGUCCCUGCUCAGCAGUGCCAUGGAAGGCCGGCUGGCAACAUCUAUCCAGCUCCUUCCUUUUCCACACACUAGCCCCGUCUAUCAGUCUGCUUGUUAGCUGUUCCUCCCAAGCUACCUGCUGUCCCAAACUGCCUAGUACAGUCUUCAUGUCCCCAGGCUCUCCAACCCCACCCCCACCCCAUCCCCCCAAAAAAAACAAUUUCCCAGGGCAGGGACAGACCUUUACAUUUUCCUUCCUCCCUCUCUUCCUCCUUCCCUCCCUCCCUCCCUCCCUCCCCCCCCCUUUCCCUUCCUCUUUUACUUCCCUGGCUUAUCCUCUGCUGUAUUCUAAGCCUUAGGAUCCAGGCCAGGUCUAUAGUGACAGAAUAAUGAAGCGUGCUGAUUGACUAAUAGAGUCCCCAAAGGCAGAAACCAUAUUAAGUUAAUCCCCUGGAAAGUGGUGAGCAUGGAGCAGGAAUUCCAUAAGAUGUGGUGGCUGAUUCCAUAAAUAUGGAAGCUGGGUUUUGCAUAGUCUUUGUAUUUCUUAGAGGCUGUUUGAUUUUCCAGUCCCUCACCCCGACCCCACCCCAGAGCAUCACUCUUCUGAGAGUUGCUGCAUCAGGGGGACAGGUUAGCUAGGUCUGCAGGCUUUUCUCCACUCCUGUAGCUGGGGCCCCACGCUAGUCUUCAGAUUCAGCUGAGCCCAGCCCCCACCCUCCACUCCACGAAGGCCUCUGUGGCAGCCAGCCAGAGGCCCAUAGAGCCCCUUGUGCGGCGGCGGGCCUGAUCUGCUGUCAGGGCUAAUAUUUUAUGCAUGGACCUGAGUAAAUGGGAACAUUUGGAGAUGGAAAUUGCUGUUAAUGGCACAUCUUUGGAAUAUAUUAAGCGUGUGCGAGGCUGCUGCUGGUCUCCCAGUUUAAUUGUUCCAAUGUAAGCGCAGCCACACCACAGCAGCAGCAGGAAGGCCACCCCAAUUCCCUUUACCACUCGAUGGGGAAAGCCCCAGGUACCUCACCCACCAAGGGAGUGUUAUGCUUGAGACAGAAUGUCAGCUGGGAUACCAAGCAAUCAGCAGCGUGCACAUUCCAGACUCAACGGAGAUCCCCCCCCCCAACCCCCCCACCCCAGAGGAUUGACCCCUCCCACUUGAGGCAGACUUUUAUUAAAAGCAAAAGCACUAGAUUUCUCUAUUGUUUGAGGAGAAGAAAAGACAAACAAAGGAUUUUUUUUCUCAUCCAAUGAGUCAAGUGAAAAUGUCUGUCCCCCAGGCCAGCAGGCCAGGCCGGCAGGAAGAAAGUCCCUGGGAGCACUUCAGGGGUCAGAGAAUUCACCAUCUCUGAGAUAGUGCAUAAACCCUGCGUGCCAAGGUCACAGAGCACAGGCCGUUUGUUUCUCUGUGCCUGGCAGACAUUAGAGCCAGUUUACCCAUCCCAUAGUUUCUUCUGGAUGUGACCGGACUGAGCCAGUGGAGCAUUCCUUUACUGUUUUUAAGAGGGGGGAGGUGUUGUGUGUGUAGGGAGUAAGUACUAGCUGUCUCCAGUGAGUAUUUGUGACCUGCACGGGGAGUAGGUUAUGUUUUACAGAAGAGGAAUUUACUAGGACUCAGAGAGGUUGAGGACUUUCCAAGAUAACCCAUCUGGAGACAGGGCUUCAGGCUAUGUGUUCUUAACAUUUCUGCUUGUGCUGGCCCACGUACCUCUAGAAAUGACCCCACGAGCCAUAGAUGACAAACAGCUCAUUGAAUAGGUCUCCACAUCUUUCUGUACAGUGAGGCAGGCUCACUUUUCCCAAGACAUUGCUUGCCAAGAUUGUCAAGCUUUUCUUUUUUCCCUGUUAACUUACCUGGUUCCUCUCCCAUUAACUAAGAUACUCUCAUUCAUGUCUGCCUUAUAAUGGGGCUGCCUACUCCAUCAGGAAACCCAGGGCACUGUGGAUGUUAAAUCUCAGGCCCGAAUUAGCUGUUUUGUUUGCUUCUACUGAAGGCCUGCAUUAACUGUCUCUGUCAUUGUGUGCACGCGCGCACAAUGUGUGUGUGUGUGUGUGUGUGUGUGUGUGUGUGUGUGUGUGUGUGUGUGUGUGUGAAUGAGCCUGCUGCCUCCCAUCAGAGGCUGGAGUGCUGCAUGGAAGAGCUGAGUACCUUCUGGCUGUGUGCUAGGUAGGCUAGGACAGUUCUAAAGAUGUCACUCCUCACAUGAGGUGCUCAGGGGCUAAGUCCCCUGAGUCGGCCAGUUUCUCUUAUCACAUCUUUGAGCAGCUAAGGACUCAAGACUGUAGGAUCCUGUCCCCCUGGGGUGGGGACUUGGAGUCAGACCCACAUCUAGUGAGUCCGUGGUGGUGUUUCUUUGUCAAGAUUUGAAAGGCCGUGAGAACCUGUGGACCCCUAGGGCUGGCUCCUAGUAGAUGCUCAGAAAAUACCUGUCCUCCUGGGAUCAAAUGAGCUUAGAUGCUAGCACAGGGAGAUGAUGAAUAGAUGGCUGUGAGGAGCACUCAGAGGAUGUUUGUGGAAUGAAUAAAUAAAAACACACUUCUUUUUUUUUUUUUUUUUUUUGAAGAAAUUAAGAAACAAGGAAAGGGAGAAACAUCCAGGGCAGACAACAUAAAUCUCCAGCAGUGUCACCAAUGCUAGAGCUGGGGCCGCCGAGAAGCCCCUGUGGAGGUGGUGGGGCCAUUUGUCAUGGGCGAGGACAGGCUUGAGGGCUGGGACAGGGGGCCUGAUGGAGGCCCGUCCAUCAUUUUCUCAUUAUCCCCGCGACGUGGAGGGCAGCUAGCGGAUCGCAGAGCAGCAGCCUCCGACUGAAGGUGGCAGGGUUGGGAGUGCGAGGGACCCCGAGGGAGGGCAGGCUGCCCCAGGCCCUGCCCCCUCCAGGAAGCCUUCUCGCUCCAGCCCAACACACGAUCUCACUUGCUCUCCCGGAUGCUCAUCAUGCGAUCUUUUAUCGACGCUCCUGGGAAGGGGCCCUUGGGAACGUGUCCGCAUGUGUGCCUCUGCUUGCCCAGGUUGCCCACACAGAGGAGGCGCUGUGAAUGCUUGUUGGCUUGUCUCUCCAUUGUAGACAGGUGAACUGGAUUGGUCCUUCCAAAGUAGACGUUCAGGAACACCACCCACUUUCCAUCCGCACUGCUAGUCCUAGGUUGGAAUGGUCCCGUUGGGUAUGACCAUUGGAACAGCUAUGGCUACAAACAAGCCCCGAGGCCUGACCUGAAGCCAUCAAUGGGCCUGCAGCGGCUCUGCCCAUCUUUGUUACUUCUCCCUCCCUGGAUCUCCUGCUUCAGACAAUGAAGCCGGCUGACUGGAGAAGACGCCCCUCUGAGAGGACCAGGACCAUGCAGGACCCAGUGGGAUCCACUAUCCCUGCCACACCCUGUGCCAUCUGCCACUGAGCCCCCCAACCAGUACCCUCUGCUUCUUACCAUUGCCCCGCCCCCCGCCCACCCCAGCCUUGCAUUUUAGAUCUCAGCGGGACCUGAGCAGCCCUUGCUUAGGAACCUGAGGUGGGGGUUGGGUAGGCAGACCCAGGGGACUGAGCAUGGGUAUAAGAAAAGAUUUCUGCUCUUGGCUUUCAAAGUCUCAAUGUGUGGAGCCCUUUGAAUAAUAAACAUAUAUCAUAAAAUGUAAA